GACGAACGCUGGCGGCGCGCCUAACACAUGCAAGUCGAACGGAGUCAAGAGGAGCUUGCUUUUCUUGACUUAGUGGCGAACGGGUGAGUAACGCGUGAGUAACCUGCCCUGGAGUGGGGGACAACAGUUGGAAACGACUGCUAAUACCGCAUAAGCCCACGGAUCCGCAUGGAUCUGCGGGAAAAGGAUUUAUUCGCUUCAGGAUGGACUCGCGUCCAAUUAGCUAGUUGGUGAGGUAACGGCCCACCAAGGCGACGAUUGGUAGCCGGACUGAGAGGCUGAACGGCAACAUUGGGACUGAGACACGGCCCAGACUCCUACGGGAGGCAGCAGUGGGGGAUAUUGCACAAUGGGGGAAACCCUGAUGCAGCGACGCCGCGUGGAGGAAGAAGGUUUUCGGAUUGUAAACUCCUGUCGUUAGGGACGAUAAUGACGGUACCUAACAAGAAAGCACCGGCUAACUACGUG
rnacentral:rRNA from 1 species